CCGGCGACGAGUGGCGAACGGGUGAGUAAUACAUCGGAACGUGUCCGCUCGUGGGGGACAACCAGCCGAAAGGUUGGCUAAUACCGCAUGAGUUCUACGGAAGAAAGAGGGGGACCCGCAAGGGCUUCUCGCGAGCGGAGCGGCCGAUGACUGAUUAGCCGGUUGGUGAGGUAACGGCUCACCAAAGCAACGAUCAGUAGCUGGUCUGAGAGGACGACCAGCCACACUGGGACUGAGACACGGCCCAGACUCCUACGGGAGGCAGCAGUGGGGAAUUUUGGACAAUGGGCGCAAGCCUGAUCCAGCUAUUCCGCGUGUGGGAUGAAGGCCCUCGGGUUGUAAACCACUUUUGUAGAGAACGAAAAGACACCUUUUAAAAAAGGGUGUUGCUGACGGUACUCUAAGAAUAAGCACCGGCUAACUACGUGCCAGCAGCCGCGGUAAUACGUAGGGUGCGAGCGUUAAUCGGAAUUACUGGGCGUAAAGGGUGCGCAGGCGGUUGAGUAAGACAGAUGUGAAAUCCCCGAGCUUAACUCGGGAAUGGCAUAUGUGACUGCUCGACUAGAGUGUGUCAGAGGGAGGUGGAUUCCACGUGUAGCAGUGAAAUGCGUAGAUAUGUGGAAGAACACCGAUGGCGAAGGCAGCCUCCUG
rnacentral:rRNA from 1 species